rnacentral:rRNA from 1 species
GCGCAGCAGGCGCGAAAAUUUUGCAAUGCGCGCAAGCGUGACAAAGUCAUCCCGAGUGCCACCCGCUGAGGGUGGCUUUUCCACAGUCUAAAAAGCUGUGGGAAUAAGGGGAGGGUAAGUCGGGUGUCAGCCGCCGCGGUAAUACCCGCUCCCCGAGUGGUAGGGAUGAUUAUUGGGCUUAAAGCGUCCGUAGCUGGCCUUUCAAGUCUCUUGUUAAAUCCAGCGAUUCAAUCGUUGGACUGCGGGAGAUACUGUUCGGCUAGGGGGUGAGAGAGGCCAACGGUAUUCCCGGGGUAGGGGUGAAAUCCUAUAAUCCCGGGAGGACCACCAGUGGCGAAGGCUGUUGGCUAGAACACGCCCGACGGUGAGGGAUGAAAGCUGGGGGAGCGAACCGGAUUAGAUACCCGGGUAGUCC